rnacentral:misc_RNA from 1 species
CAGAGUUGCAAAACUCCCACAAACCAUCGCGAAUCUUACCCGUACGGUUGCCUCGGCGCUGGCGGUCCGGAAGGCCCUCGGGCCCCCGGAUCCUCGGGUCUCCCGCUCGCGGGAGGCUGCCCGCCGGAGUGCCGAAACUAAACUCUUGAUAUCUUAUGUCUCUCUGAGUACACUUUUAAAUAAGUUA